UACGUAGGGUGCAAGCGUUAAUCGGAAUUACUGGGCGUAAAGCGUGCGCAGGCGGUUCUAUAAGACAGAUGUGAAAUCCCCGGGCUCAACCUGGGAACUGCAUUUGUGACUGUAGAGCUGGAGUACGGCAGAGGGGGGAUGGAAUUCCGCGUGUAGCAGUGAAAUGCGUAGAUAUGCGGAGGAACACCGAUGGCGAAGGCAAUCCCCUGGGCCUGUACUGACGCUCAUGCACGAAAGCGUGGGGAGCAAACAGG
rnacentral:rRNA from 1 species